GAUGAAGAACGUAGCGAAAUGCGAUAAGUAAUGUGAAUUGCAGAAUUCAGUGAAUCAUCGAAUCUUUGAACGCACAUUGCGCCCGCUGGUAUUCCGGCGGGCAUGCCUGUUCGAGCGUCAUUUCAACCCUCAAGCUCUCCGGAGUUUGGUGUUGGGGCGCCUGGGGCUUUUCGACCUCAGGGCCCUCAAGUCCAUCGGCGGGACCGCCAGGACACUGAGCGCAGUAGUAUUAUUUCGCUCGGUAGGAUCUUCCACGGCGGGUCGAUCUGGCCGCUAAACCCCCCAAUUCUCUCCAAAGGUUGACCUCGGAUCAGGUAGGAAUACCCGCUGAACUUAAGCAUAUCAAUAAGCGGAGGA
rnacentral:misc_RNA from 1 species